ensembl:antisense Gm37020 predicted gene, 37020
GUUAUUUUUUGCUGCUAUUUUCAGUGAGGUCUAUUUAAUUGUCUACUCUUUGCUAUUAGGAAGAAACAAAGUUGGGUUUUGUACAUUUCCUUUUAUGACUUAUACUCUGGCUAGAAGUAACUGAUUGGGCACAGUGAUCAGAUUUUCUACCUAGAUGACGAAGCUGAAUGAAGAUAACGAUAGACUUCCUCUCACCCUGUGCCCUCCGUUCCUUGUGCUUCUGAUGCACCAACUGGGACCUUGGGAAGAUGGGCCAGAGUAGCGGGGGCAACAUCCUUGCAGCUUGUCUGAUGUUGGAGGAUUUGAUUGUUACAAAAAUGUGUUAUUACUGAACUUGGUAAAAAAGUUUGUCAUGAUGCAUAAACCGAGAUGGUUAUUAACUACGAGUGUUUUACUGGCUUGUGUGUCUGUGUACAACAUGAGGCCAGAAGAGUGCGUGUGAUCCCCUGAAACUGGAGCUAGUUGGUUGUCAGUUGACACGAGAGUGCUGGGAACUGAACUUGGGUCCUCUGGAAGAGGAGCAAGCACCCUUAAUCACUGAGCCUUCCCCGUAGCCUUAACUUCUAUUUUGUCUGUAAUAAGCCGAGGUAUUUGUUGGCAGUUAACCUCGUGACCCAGUAGAUGGCCCCAUACACACUCACACAGGGUCAGCACUGAUUGGACUCCGGAAGCUAUUUGUUAUAAGAAGUCAUCAGGGAGGUGGGUUGGUAGGGCCUGGAAGAGUUCAAAGGAAAUAAUAGAGGAUGUGUACAUGCGUGAAAUUGUCAAAGAAUAAAUAAAAAUAACAAUAGUGGAUGGGAGAGAGGGCUCAGCACUUAAGAGCACUGGCUGCUCUUCCAAAGGAACAAUCGUCUGUGAUCCGGUUCCAAGGGAUCCGGUGCCCUCUUCUGUCCUCCAAGAGUACCAGGCAUGUAUGUGGUCCACAGACACACAUGCAGGCAAAAUGUUCAUACACAUAAAAUUAACGAUAGAACAAAAAAACAUUAAAAAUAAGUGUACCGA